UACAGAGGUCCCGAGCGUUGUUCGGAUUCAUUGGGCGUAAAGGGUGCGUAGGCGGCAUGGCAAGUCGGGUGUGAAAUCCCGGGGCUCAACCCCGGAACUGCACUCGAUACUGUCGUGCUAGAGUGUUGGAGAGGAGACUGGAAUUUACGGUGUAGCAGUGAAAUGCGUAGAUAUCGUAAGGAAGACCGGUGGCGAAAGCUAGUCUCUGGACAACUACUGACGCUGAGGCACGAAGGCUAGGGGAGCAAAGCGGG
rnacentral:rRNA from 1 species